UCUGGUCAGAUGUCUGUGUAAAGA
rnacentral:piRNA from 1 species